rnacentral:rRNA from 1 species
UACGGGGGGGGCAAGCGUUGUUCGGAAUUACUGGGCGUAAAGGGCUCGUAGGCGGCCAACUAAGUCAUACGUGAAAUCCCUCGGCUUAACCGGGGAACUGCGUCUGAUACUGGAUGGCUUGAGUUCGGGAGAGGGAUGCGGAAUUCCAGGUGUAGCGGUGAAAUGCGUAGAUAUCUGGAGGACACCGGUGGCGAAGGCGGCAUCCUGGACC